CACAGCCAAGGCCAAGGGCAGUGCAGGCACAGCCACCGUGACUCUCUGCUGGGAGGUUAACAGCUCCAUCAGUUCAGGGACUGCCUGACCCAGCCUGACCAAAUUAGAGCAAGUAAUGGGAGAAAGAAUUGUGCCAUGAAAAAUGGAAAACUCCUGAGAAGCUGUUCCAGCGUCAGGAGAGCAGCAGACAAGCUGGACUGGGGAAGAUUCUUCCUGCAAGACCUGCAGAGUGUAUGACACAUAACCAGCACCCAAGAAAUGUCUACCGAGGAAUUAAUGAAUGAGGGUCCCAUACUUCCUAGCCAUGCUGUUGGCAGGGAUUAACAUCAUUGCAAUUCUCUGGGUAGACCUUGGGAGGUUUAAACCAACCAGUGACCCCUAUCAUCCUAGCUCCAGAGAUUGGCUUAGGGAUAGUCACCCAAUGCAGGCCAAUGCAAGGUGACUUUGCCAGGGGCUUCUGGGAAAGAAGUUUCCUUUCUCUGAGGAAAUGUGAAUGAGGACAUCCAUAACUCAGGUUGUGUCUGGCAGCCAUCUUGUGAUCAUCUGGCAAGACAGCCCAAGAAUAAAGCCGUCACCAUGGAGACUAAGAAGAGACAGAAAGACACUGGGUCUUCAUUGUCUCGUCCAGCUGUUCAUGAGGCCUUAUCUGAAGCCCACGUGACCUCCGGACUACUCACUUACAUGAGAGAAUAAAGCUCUUUUUUGUUUAGACCAAAUAAAUACAUAAUACAAUUACAUAAUCCCUUGAUUCCUUUUUAUGACUGAGCUCAGAGACUAUAUUUUGUCAUUUUAAAUCACCUUUGUCUUACAGUUUAUUUAACUGAAACAAAUAAACAAACCAAAACACGCCAGUUUUUCACUCCUCUGUCAAAGCCUUUCCAAGAUCACUAAGCUUGUGAUGUCCUGGGUGAAUGAAGAAGUAACAGUGUUUUCAACAACAUAGAAGCUUAUUUCUCUCUCAUAUAAAAGAAGGCUGGAGUCUGGCUGGUAUGGGAGAUACAGCAUCAUCAAAGUUUUAUCUUUUCGUCCUGCCAUCCUUAGAAUAUGGCUUUCAUCUUCAAGAUCACUUCCUAAGCUAUGAGGAUGCAAAGGUAUAAGAAUGACAUAGCGGACUUUGGGGACUCGGUGUGGGGAGAAGUUGGGAGGGGUGAGGGAUAAGAGACUACAUAUUGGGUACAGUGUACACUGCUCUAAAAUCUCAGAAAUCACCACCAAAGAACCUAUCCGUGGAAUCAAAAACCACCUAUACCCCCAAAACCACUGAAAUAAAACUAAAAAUUAAUUAAAAAAAAAAACAACAUAACUUCAUGGUCCAAUGUGACAGCUAGAGCGCCAAUCAUCAUGUUAAACUUCCUGUUCCAGAAAGGCAUGGAAGGAAGGGAGAAGGAGAAAAAGGAGUCUGUGAGUAGUCUAUUCCCUCUUAAGGAGUCCACAGAAGACUACCCAACAACUUCUGCUUAUGUCUCACUGGCCCUCAGGCUGCAAAUGUGGCUUCCAAGUGUAGUCUUUCAGCUGAGCACACUGCCACCCAGAUUAAAAUCUGGGUUAUGUGACCAAGGAAAAAGAGGAGACUGGAUAUUGGAUAGGCAACUAACAGUCUCUGCCGCACCCUACUUAACAAACUGGCCCAGCUUCUGUGUUCAGAUCUGAUGCUUGGUGCCCGCAGCUCCAAGGAGACCCCAUGGUUCAAGCUGCAAUUACUUGCUCCACAGGCCCUUACCAAGGAAAGUCAGGUUUUUUCCCUCCUGAGGAUCCUCUGACCAGCAUCUUCAGAUUUUUUUUCAGUUAGAAGUAUUCAUUGGGCACCUG
rnacentral:lncRNA from 1 species